rnacentral:lncRNA from 1 species
ACAGACUCAUAUAUAAGCAAGGACAAAAAAAAGUCGUUGCUUUUUCUCUUCCUCCUCCUCUCUGUGGAGCCACCAUGUGAGCCUGGGAAGAGGACAACAGCAAAGGCAUCCUCCAUAAGAUAAGUCUUAUGAUUAUGGUUGAUAAUUAAGACUGAGCUAGCCUAUGAGAAAUCCUAGUCAUUGGCUAAGCAGCAUUUGUACCUAAUAUAAGUCUCUGUGUGUUACUUGGAACCUUAACAUGGCAUUGGGCAGCCUGGCGGAAAGUGCCCAUGUGGCGGCAGGGCUCAGGCUUUGGCAUAAAGAUUUAUCAUUACAGUUGCUCAUUGGUACACUGUGUGGUUUUCCCCGAGUUACUUCUGUGUACCAAAACUUUGCUGAAAAUUGGUAAAUAAGAUCUAAGAGAUGGGGAUGAAUGUACUCUGAGACUUGACCAAGCCAAGUCCUGUAUUUUCUGUCUGCAAAUGUCUGUCAUCUCACAAGUUAGAAAUUUGCAUAUUCUUAGGAAAGCUGCUCUUGACAAAGUAUGCAAAGGGUUUUCAUAUUUUAUUGUUUACAUAUUGAAAAGAGUUUCUUUUUCUCCUUCAUUGAAUUUUGGCUUUUCACAGUGUGCAAUUUUGCAGCAUUUAUGAUCAUUAUGUACUUUGUUUCAAAAGAAUGCAUUUUGUCAUAAAAAGCCCUUCACAAGACUAGAGGAAACCAUCAGUUCUCUGUGAAUAUCUCAGCACAACCUGCGGGUUUUUUUUUUUUUUAACUUGCUCUGAGAAUAUUUAAAACAAUCUGCAAAAACUCCUAUGUGAAGCAAUUAGAAGGCAAAACUGGAGCCAAUUGAAUUCUCUUAAUCAAGAAAUAAUUAAUUUGUGCAUGACAAUGUUAGAGUCCUACAUUCAAAAGACUGGACGAUUUAUCCAACCCCCCUUUCACAAAGUUACAAUUUCGAUCUCGCUUUGUUUGUGAGAUAAUAAGGAAGGCUUGUGCAAAGUGAGACAAGAUGAACAGAGAGACUUUCUCAUGAAUAGGAGAAAUGAAUGUUUUUUUAAUUUAAAGGAAACUGUAUUUAAAACACAAUUUUUGGAAAAUAUAAUGAAGUCAAAUAUAAAUAUUGUGAACAGAUGUUUCUUAAGAAGCUGCCGCACUGAAUAGCCACCAUCUGGAGUCAUUCACAGAGAGAACAAGUGCAGAGCCUGGGGAGGCCAGGAGAGGGCACUGGAUAGCCUGGAGCUGGAGUUAACAGGUUUUGUGAGCCACCUUGACACAGGAGCUGGGAACCAAACUAUGGACCUCUGCUGAGCCAUCUCUCCAGUCCUGAAAAGUGAACUCUUUGUGAAAGGCUUUGUCUGACUCAGACUUCAUUGUUACCCUGAAUUUUCUCUUCUAAAGAAACCAUCUUGCUGAGUGUGGUGGCUUGUGCUUUUCAGCACACGGGAGGCAGGUGGAUUUCUAGAGAACUACUGACGGAAGAGUGGAGGAUUGAGGACAGUGGAGAGUGCAUGCCUGUCUUCUUUAGGCCCUGCUUCAGUUCAGCGCAGCAGAAGUCAAGAGAGGCCAGUGUGAUGGUUCAUCGAGGAAGAGUAAAAGUGCUUGUCACUCAAGCCUCAUGACCUCAUCUCUCCCAAAAGUGACCCGCCACGUGUGUGUGCCAUGACACUAUACUCAGACACUCAGACACAGUAACAGCAAUAAACAAAGAUCUUAACAAAUGAAAUCAAGUGAGGUGGGUGAUAUAGAGACACUGUUAAUUCUAAUGCUACAAGUUAAAAAUCUGAAUUAUAAAUGUUGAACUGUUCUCAUUACGAGUGAUUUCUUUUGAUAAGAUCCUGGCAAAUGUAGUCUAAAUUUGAGUUUAAUGCACUUAAAAUAAAAUUUAUGCCAUUUAUCGGGAAGAAAUGUGGGCUGAUUGUUAGUUGAGCUUUUGU